rnacentral:lncRNA from 1 species
CCUGGCUGGGCCCACUCAGGGGGCUCAGACCCCCUUGCUGUGGCAUCUUGUCUAGGGUGGCACUGGCCCUGCAGAGGGGCUCUGGGGGUCUGGGUCUCAGCUGAGGGGUGGCCCUGGUGCAGAGCAGACCAUCUGCCAUUAAGAGCAAGGAGCAGAUGGGAAGGACUCGCAAGGGCCAGGGCUCUGCAGGACUCAGAGGGGAAACCGGAAGCCGCGCCCGCCUCAUGGGAGGCUACGGCAGGGCGGACAGAGUCCCCCCAAAUGACCAGCAACCCCUGCCUUCCAGGGUUCUGUGAAACUAGGUGAAGUGGCAUAGUGUGAAGCGGAGCCUGGAUCCUUAGAGGCCUCGCUGUCCUGGGGAGGCUGCUUGGAUUGCAGUUGGGUUCCUAAGAAGUCAGCUUCCUUUGGAGUCUGUGCCCAGGGUCUUCGGCCACUGACUGCGCUCUCUCCUGAGAGCUCAGCCCUGGGAAAAGUUCCUCAUUCCCUCGGAACUUUCCUGCUGCAUCGUAGGUGAGAGAUAAGAUCCACGUCAGGGGCUGCUGCUUGGCAUGUGGGUGUGUGAUGAUAUUUCUGAAUGACACAUGAGUUAAAACGAAGCCAUCCAGCCACAGAGAGCACUGACCGCAAACCUAGUAGGAGGUACAGACAUCAGGAGGAGAGCAGGAUGGGAGGAGAGAGGGAGCUAGCUUCUUGGUGGGUAAUCAGGGAAGCGAGAUUAAUAGGAAUCUUUUGAAAACAAGACACAAGUCUAACUCAAGUUCCCUGUGCACAAAUCGGAACGUUUGGGUUCCUGUAACUGUUGCUGAACCUUGAACAGGCAAGACGCACUCCAACCUCAGGGCCUUUGCACUUCCUUUUGGUGGGACUCUUUCCUCCCUGACAACUCCAUGGUUUCUCCUUUAUCU